CAUUACCGAGUGCAGGUCUGCCCCCGGGCAGGCCUAACCUCCCACCCGUGAAUACCUGACCAACGUUGCUUCGGCGGUGCGCCCCCCCGGGGGUAGCCGCCGGAGACCACACCGAACCUCCUGUCUUUAGUGUUGUCUGAGCUUGAUAGCAAACCUAUUAAAACUUUCAACAAUGGAUCUCUUGGUUCCGGCAUCGAUGAAGAACGCAGCGAACUGCGAUAAGUAAUGUGAAUUGCAGAAUUCAGUGAAUCAUCGAGUCUUUGAACGCACAUUGCGCCCCCUGGCAUUCCGGGGGGCAUGCCUGUCCGAGCGUCAUUGCUGCCCUUCAAGCCCGGCUUGUGUGUUGGGUCGUCGUCCCCCCCGGGGGACGGGCCCGAAAGGCAGCGGCGGCACCGCGUCCGGUCCUCGAGCGUAUGGGGCUUUGUCACCCGCUCGAUUAGGGCCGGCCGGGCGCCAGCCGGCGUCUCCAACCUUCUAUUUUACCAGGUUGACCUCGGAUCAGGUAGGGAUACCCGCUGAACUUAAGCAUAU
rnacentral:rRNA from 1 species